rnacentral:rRNA from 1 species
GACGAACGCUGGCGGCGUGCUUAACACAUGCAAGUCGAACGAUGACGGUGGUGCUUGCACCGCCUGAUUAGUGGCGAACGGGUGAGUAACACGUGAGUAACCUGCCCCCCACUUCGGGAUAACCUCGGGAAAUCGUGGCUAAUACCGGAUAUGAGCACUCAUCGCAUGGUGGGUGUUGGAAAGAUUUAUCGGUGGGGGAUGGACUCGCGGCCUAUCAGUUUGUUGGUGAGGUGAUGGCUCACCAAGACGAUGACGGGUAGCCGGCCUGAGAGGGCGACCGGCCACACUGGGACUGAGACACGGCCCAGACUCCUACGGGAGGCAGCAGUGGGGAAUAUUGCACAAUGGGCGAAAGCCCUGAUGCAGCGACGCCGCGUGGG